rfam:Ferrimonas balearica DSM 9799, complete genome.
ACCGGUCUGCUGUUGAGUAUCCUAUCGGGCUUUUCGCAGUCGACCAAUUGACAAUAGUAGGAGUGCUAUAGUGGCCCGUAUCGCUGGCAUUAACAUUCCUGAG